CCUACGGGAGGCAGCAGUAGGGAAUCUUCCACAAUGGGCGCAAGCCUGAUGGAGCAACACCGCGUGAGUGAAGAAGGGUUUCGGCUCGUAAAGCUCUGUUGUUGGGGAAGAACGUGCGUGAGAGUAACUGUUCACGGAGUGAUGGUAUCCUACCAGGAAGUCACGGCUAACUACGUGCCAGCAGCCGCGGUAAUACGUAGGUGGCAAGCGUUAGCCGGAAUUAUUGGGCGUAAAGCGAGCGCAGGCGGUUGCGUAGGUCUGAUGUGAAAGCCUUCGGAUUAACCGGAGAAGUGCAUCGGAAACCGGGCGACGAGAGUGCAGAAGAGGACAGUGGAACUCCAUGUGUAGCGGUGGAAUGCGUAGAUAUAUGGAAGAACACCAGUGGCGAAGGCGGCUGUCUGGUCUGCAACUGACGCUGAGGCUCGAAAGCAUGGGUAGCGAACAGGAUUAGAUACCCUUGUAGUC
rnacentral:rRNA from 1 species